ensembl:snRNA U6 U6 spliceosomal RNA
CUUUGCAGAGAAAAUGAAGACGGCCCCUGCACAAGGAUAACAUGCAAAUUCAUGAAGUGUUUCAUAUUGUU